AUACUUUCUCAUAGUUCCUGCCUGGAAAUUAGAACAGGAACACUCAUUACUCAUCAAGGCUAACUUAUAUGCACAAACACAGCAAGUUAUGCUGAUUGAUAACUUCUUAAACACAUGUACGGGAGCAUGAAUAAGCAUUGUCCCACACAUAUACUUACAGAAAAAUUUACACACCGGAAAAUCAAAUGGUGAACCUAUUCAAUCAUCAUUGGUAUAAGUUUUGCUGAUCUAAAAGCUACCUUUUCAACAAUAAGAUUCAUACAGCUAAAGGCAACAGCUGAAAUUGUUGUCCCCACAACAACAUAAAAAAAUAGAAAGUAGAAUUAAGUAAUCAAACAGGACAACAAUUUUGAGCAGUGUCUGAAGGAAUACAACUCACACUAGUUUUUGUUUAAAAGGCCAGGACCCAGACCCUAAAGUUCUUUUCCUCAUUUGAUUCCCAUAAUAGUCUAUUCAAGGUUUAUCAUCAUAAUCUACGUCCCAAGGCUCCCAACUACAACCAGCCUUAUCAGGCUUGUCUUCAAAACCCACAGAUAUUUGAUCUAUUAAACCUAAUGUCCAAGUCAACUAUUUAUAAUUAUAAUAGAAAGAAGCAAAUAAAAGAAAGAAUGGGUCUUCCAGAAAGAAAAUACUACACUUGGUUAGUAUAUAAGAAUAAUCAGAGUCCAUUACUAAAUCUCCAACCCCCUGUUCUUAUCAUGUUACAUGAUUAUACCCAAGUUAUCUUUCCACAAUUAUAGGUUCAUAAUACCCAUGCAUAAAGCUCUCAACCUCAUGUGUCCUCAACAGUCAACACCAGACUUGAGCUGACUCAUCAUAGACAUGCUACUAGAAUCUUUUGACAAGAGAAAGAAAUCAAGCUAAAUGCACAAAGGUAGUAAAAGUUGAAAGAAACAUUGAAGGCAAUAGGUACUUUAAUGUCUAAGGCGCAAGGCGCCAAAAAAGUGUGUGCCUAAGCAAAGUGAGGUGCACAUUUCCAAAAACAUUCAAUUUAUGUUUAGCAAGUAAAAUUCAGGUUGAUGUAGAAUAAAACACAGAAGGGAAGGAGCAGAGAGAUUUUCAAAAAAUAUCAUGAUAAAAUAGAAGGGGGGAGAGGCAGAGAGAGCCUUAAAACAGUAUUUUAAGGUUAAUAGAUGGGCAAAAAGUAGAUGGAAGUAACUAAAAAGGAAAAAAAGGUAAAAGUAUUUUUUUUUAAAAAAAUUACUUGUAUUUGUCUCUGUUACUCAUCAGAAAAGGGGACCAUAUGUGCAAGAAUUGUAGUCUACAUUGAAAAUUUUUUGCCCCCAGGAAUUGCAAUUUAUGUUUGAAAACUUUUUGCUGCUGCUUUUAACUU
rnacentral:misc_RNA from 1 species